rnacentral:rRNA from 1 species
AUGCACGCUGGCGGCGUGCCUCAUCCCUGCAAGUCGCGCGAACAGACGAGGAGCUUGCUCCUCUGACGUUAGCGGCGGACGGGUGAGUAACACGUGGAUAACCUACCUAUAAGACUGGGAUAACUUCGGGAAACCGGAGCUAAUACCGGAUAAUAUAUUGAACCGCAUGGUUCAAUAGUGAAAGACGGUUUUGCUGUCACUUAUAGAUGGAUCCGCGCCGCAUUAGCUAGUUGGUAAGGUAACGGCUUACCAAGGCAACGAUGCGUAGCCGACCUGAGAGGGUGGUCGGCCAAACUGGAACUUAGACACGGUCCAGACUCCUACGGGAGGCAGCAGUAGGGAAUCUUCCGCAAUGGGCGAAAGCCUGACGGAGCAACGCCGCGUGAGUGAUGAAGGUCUUCGGAUCGUAAAACUCUGUUAUUAGGGAAGAACAAAUGUGUAAGUAACUAUGCACGUCUUGACGGUACCUAAUCAGAAAGCCACGGCUAACUACGUG